rnacentral:rRNA from 1 species
GGCGACGAUCUGUAGCUGGUCUGAGAGGACGACCAGCCACACUGGGACUGAGACACGGCCCAGACUCCUACGGGAGGCAGCAGUGGGGAAUUUUGGACAAUGGGCGCAAGCCUGAUCCAGCAAUGCCGCGUGCAGGAAGAAGGCCUUCGGGUUGUAAACUGCUUUUGUACGGAACGAAACGGUCCGGGUUAAUACUCUGGGCUAAUGACGGUACCGUAAGAAUAAGCACCGGCUAACUACGUGCCAGCAGCCGCGGUAAUACGUAGGGUGCAAGCGUUAAUCGGAAUUACUGGGCGUAAAGCGUGCGCAGGCGGUUUUGUAAGACAGGCGUGAAAUCCCCGGGCUCAACCUGGGAAUGGCGCUUGUGACUGUGAAACUGGAGUGCGGCAGAGGGGGAUGGAAUUCCGCGUGUAGCAGUGAAAUGCGUAGAUAUGCGGAGGAACACCGAUGGCGAAGGCAAUCCCCUGGACCUGCACUGACGCUCAUGCACGAAAGCGUGGGGAGCAAACAGGAUUAGAUACCCU